rnacentral:rRNA from 1 species
GACGAACGCUGGCGGCGUGCUUAACACAUGCAAGUCGAACGGAAAGGCCCUGCUUUUGUGGGGUGCUCGAGUGGCGAACGGGUGAGUAACACGUGAGUAACCUGCCCUUGACUUUGGGAUAACUUCAGGAAACUGGGGCUAAUACCGGAUAGGAGCUCCUGCUGCAUGGUGGGGGUUGGAAAGUUUCGGCGGUUGGGGAUGGACUCGCGGCUUAUCAGCUUGUUGGUGGGGUAGUGGCUUACCAAGGCUUUGACGGGUAGCCGGCCUGAGAGGGUGACCGGCGACAUUGGGACUGAGAUACGGCCCAGACUCCUACGGGAGGCAGCAGUGGGGAAUAUUGCACAAUGGGCGGAAGCCUGUUGCAGCAACGCCGCGUGCGGGAUGACGGCCUUCGGGUUGUAAACCGCUUUCGCCUGUGACGAAGCGUGAGUGACGGUAAUGGGUAAAGAAGCACCGGCUAACUACGUG